rnacentral:misc_RNA from 1 species
GAAAUGCGAUAAGUAAUGUGAAUUGCAGAAUUCAGUGAAUCAUCGAAUCUUUGAACGCACCUUGCGCUCCUUGGUAUUCCUUGGAGCAUGCCUGUUUGAGUAUCAUGAAAUCUUCAAAGUAAAUCUUUUGUUAACUCAAUUGGUUUCUACUUUGGUAUUGGAGGUCUUUGCAGCUUCACACCUGCUCCUCUUUGUUCAUUAGCUGGACCUCAGUGUUAUGCUUGGUUCCACUCGGCGUGAUAAGUUAUCUAUCGCUGAGGACACUGUAAAAGGUGGCCAAGGUAAAUGCAGAUGAACCGCUUCUAAUAGUCCAUUGACUUGGACAAUACUUUUAUGAUCUGAUCUCAAAUCAGUUAGGACUACCCGCUGAACUUAAGC